rnacentral:rRNA from 1 species
GUAGGGAGCAAACGUUGUCCGGAUUUAUUGGGCGUAAAGGGCUCGUAGGCGGUUCAACAAGUCGGUCGUGAAAACCCGGGGCUCAACCCCGGGACGCCGGUCGAAACUGUUGUGACUAGAGUUCGGUAGAGGUGAGUGGAAUUCUCGGUGUAGCGGUGGAAUGCGCAGAUAUCGAGAGGAACACCAUUAGCGAAGGCGGCUCACUGGGCCGAUACUGACGCUGAGGAGCGAAAGCGUGGGGAGCAAACAGGAUUAGAUACCCUGGGUAGUCCACGCCGUAAACGAUGAACACUAGGUGUGGCGGACUGAUUCAUGUCUGCUGCGCCGUAGCUAACGCAUUAAGUGUUCCGUCUGGGGAGUACGGCCGCAAGGCUA